ensembl:lncRNA
CCCCCCCCCCGCUGCCGGUGGAGGUCCCCCUGUCACGUGCCAGCCCCGUCACCUGCACCGGGGCGGUGGGAGACGCGGCCGCUGGCACAGACCCCGCGGCCGGGCACGGCGAGCCCUUUGUCUGCGUGCAGGCAGCAGCCCCGGCCACCGCCGGGCCACCGCGUCCCCAGCGUGUCCCCACAGCACGUGCCCGGUGUCGCCAGGCCUGUUUGGGGACACGGGCCUGCGUGCAGGGCUGCCAUCUGUGUCCCUUGAGCCGGGCACAGGGCUGGGGGCUCACGGGGACAGAGGGCACCCAGGGUGGAGCCGUGGUGGCCGGGAAUUUGUGAGAGCCCCAGGGGCAGCGGUGGCUGCAGGGGGAGCGGGGGGGCCCAGAGACACAACGCACCCAGGGGUGCCCCCGUGACUGAGCCAGGGGGGUCUGGUCCCAUGGGGGGGCGUGGGCAUUCACAGCCUGUGCACGGUGCACGGUGCACGGCCAGGACAGGGCUGUCCUCAGCCUGGAGGGGACACACGACCCCUGGGGACAUGUCGGGGGGCACCACCCCCAGGCCCUGCCGGGGGCACCCAGCCCUCACCAGCACCGGGAUGGGCCCGGGGCCGCCCUGCUGCCGUGUGGGGCCGGAGCGGGGCAGGCGCCAGCACAGGUCCCUGGGCUCUCCCCUGCCAUCGCCUGCGCCAAGUUGCAAACCCAAGGGAAACGCAGCAGCCAUUUUUGGCUGGCGCAUGCGGCGGGGCCGGCACAAUGGGGCCGGGUGCCGGCAGCUCCCAGGGGUGCCGGGAGGUGCUGGGGGUGCCAGGGUGCUGCCGGAGGGUGUGUGGUGCUGCAGCGGGCAAGGAGGCACACGGCAGACAAAGGCCUCAUGGGCGGCACCGCGGCACCGCGGCACAGCUGGGCCUCGGCCGCCGGCACCGAGGGACCCGCGCGUGGCCUCAGGGAUCGGCGUGCGCCCCGCUUGCACUGGGGAGAUCGUGCAUGCAUGUGCCUGUGUGUGUGUGUGUGUGCAUGUACGUGUGUGUGCGUGCACUCAGGAGGGUGCCAAAGGCUGGAUGUGUUUUUUGCGCAGGGCCGUGCCGGUGGCUUUGCAGAGAAAGGCUGGCACCGGUGCGCAGCCCGGGGGGGCGUCGGAGGGGGCCGGGGACACUGGCGGAGCCACCACGUGUGGGGACCGUCGGCCCUGCAGCCCCCCGCCCUCCCCACGCCACGGGCAGCCCCUGCCCACACCGGCGUGGCCGAAAUGGGCACCGGCACCGCCGCCACCUCCCGUGGGCCCUGCCCGGCCGCAGCCCCCAGCCCACGCCGUGCCCCCGCGCCGCAGCCAGCCCCGCUCGGCUGGCGGCUGCGGGUGGGGAAGGAGCCGGGCGAGCCGCCGCGCCGUUUUGCAGCGAGCCGCAGAUGCCAGCUCGCGGCGAGGGUCCCCGUGGCGUCCCCCCCUCGCCCCGGCACCCCCGGCCACCCCCGGCACGUGCAGGCCGAGCAGGGUGCCCGGCUCCCCGCCGCCCUGCCCGCUCGCUCCAUUGUUCAGCCCCAGCCCUGCUAUCGCCUGCAUCUCGCCCAGGUCCCAUUUUGCGGCGUGUAGGCAGAUCUGUAGAUUUGGAAGGGUUUUUUUUUUUUUUUUUUUUUUUUUUUUUUUU